rnacentral:rRNA from 1 species
UACGAAGGGGGCUAGCGUUGCUCGGAAUCACUGGGCGUAAAGCGCACGUAGGCGGGUUGCUAAGUCAGGGGUGAAAUCCUGGAGCUCAACUCCAGAACUGCCUUUGAUACUGGCGGCCUUGAGUCCGGGAGAGGUGAGUGGAACUGCGAGUGUAGAGGUGAAAUUCGUAGAUAUUCGCAAGAACACCAGUGGCGAAGGCGGCUCACUGGCCCGGUUACUGACGCUGAGGUGCGAAAGCGUGGGAGCAACAGG